GAAGUAGGUACUAGCAUUAUCCCCAUUUCACAGAUGAGAAAAAUAACAGAGAGGUUGAGUAACUUGCCUAAGGCCAAGCAGCCAGUCAAUGGCAGAACCAUUAUUUGAACCCAGGCAGUCUGAGCCCAGAGCCCAGACUCCUAAAUGUUAUGUUUUUACUAUUGCAGGAAAUCAAUAAACACUGAAAUGACUAUGAUAAAAAGUAUAGUACAAACACAGUAAAAUAGUCCAAAUUUAAAUAAAUGGCUAGGAGAAAGAUCAGUUUAAAUUAUGACAAACCUACGAGUUACUUAGAAACUGCACUUUUAUUACCUGUAAAUACAUAUUGAUACUAGGGCUAAUCUGUAAUAUACUAACAAGCAGAGGUCUGUACUGCUUGUUGUGAUGAACCCUUAAAAUUAGAUUCCAACUCAAGUGCCCUAUAGCUAAUAACUAACACUUAAUGUCCUUAAAAUAAUUUUUUAUUCUCUUAAGCAGGCUAAGCAGUUGCCAUUGUAAUUUUAUUGAUUUUACUCUUUUGUUCAACAAUCUUCACUCUCAAUCUAGAUUAAAGUAACCUAAAUGAAUAAGGUUUCAUUGUGUUUCAAAGUCAACUCAUCUUAAAUAUUGCUGGACUCGUCAUCGGUGUUCAGCAAUAUACCAGUUCUCCUCUUCCGUGUGUGGUAGGAUUUUACUCUUCUCUGAAUGAGGUAGGGAUUGGGCAGUAAAACAUGAGUGGCAGGGACAUGUGCCACUUCUGAGCUGAAGCCUUUAAAAGCCAGUGUCUAAUUUACCACUCCCCCUUUUACCUGCCUCAGUGAUCAUGGAAGCCAGGGGACUUCUGGAUGUCUGGCAGAACCCUCAUAGAUCUGAGGUGGACCCAUAGCACAGUCAAGAAACCAGCCAUUGUUUUAAACUACUGAGAUUGUGGGGUUGUUUGUUAUUAGCACAACCUAACAGAUACAAAUGCCAACCCUCCACAGUCUAGGUGAAAAAGAAAAUGAAUAAAGAAUCUAUGCAGCCAAUUAGAAAGAAAAUAGAAACAAACAUUAAUUGGCCAUUAUGAUAUUUUAAAUAUUUACAGGUUAUCACACCUAAUCUUCUUGGUAUUGGCAAUACUGAGAAGUAGGUAUUAUUUCCACUUUAUUUCUAUGGAAACUGAUGUUCAGAAUUGCUAGUAAGUGACAGAGAUGAGAUUCCAAUCCAGGCUUGUCUGAAUCUUGUGAUUAUACUAUGUUGUCUAUAAAAAGCAUAUGCAACUAGAUUACUCUAAGGGCCAAACAUAGGAACACUAGGAGGGAAAGGCAUUCAGUCACUGAGUCAUUCUCCAAAAGGGAUAAGAUGCUUACUAUGUGUCAGGCAUUGUGCUACGAAUCUCAGAGUGAACAAGACAGUUCUGUUGAUGAGCUGACAAUCUAGUGUGGGCAACAGACAAGUAAAGUGGUAAUUUCAUUAUGGUGUGAUAAGAGCCAUUUGACUAGGGUAAGGAUGGGUUUGGACUUAAGAGUACACUCAAAGGAAUGGAAGAAAGAAAAAAUGAAAAAAAAAAAGCAGAGAAAGGAAAGCUAGGAAAUAAAUGAGGAAUAAUGGCCAAAUAAAGAAGCACCAUGAACGUCAUCAUCUCUUCCUGUCCAGAUUUGCACACAUUUGGUAAGAAUAUGCCAUAUGUUUCACCUUGGCACACAUAACUCUGGUGGCAUGCUGCCACUGGCUGGUGACAUCAAAGUCACCUGUGAAAACCAAGAGAAGCUCUGCUCUGCUGUUAACAGCAGUCCCCAGCCCAGCUGGCUUAGGAAUUCAAACCCAAGCAGGGAGCCUACAUUCCCUCUAGGGCAGCUGGCACCCCCAACUCAGGAGGACAGAAGGGCAAUUUGCUUGCUAGUCUUCCCUGCUGGGCUACGACUCUUGGUCACAUUUAUCAGAACUUUACUAUGCCUGACCUGCGAGCUACUCAAUAAAUGUUGAUUGGUUGCCUGAUAGAAUGAACAGCCGUUGGGGUGGAAAGGUGCCUGAGGAACCUCAGGUGCUGUAAAGCAUCAAGAGGCCUGAGCCCCUUUAAAACCCAGCCAAGGACCCCAGAAUGGCUGGGGCUUGUUCCGACUACACUCAGCAUGUAUUAAUAGAUCUGCAUUCUCAGUUUCACAGGGAGAUCCCUCCCACAUGGAAAUUAAGAAAUAAAUGGCUCUCCUGAGUGGAAAUGUCAGAGUAGGGGCUGCUAGGUCACAAUGUAGGACCAUGUGAACUAGAGAGACAAGUAAGUCCCACAUUAGAAAUUAAAGACACAGUCCGUAUCUGGGCAGUUUGACAAUCUAACUAUAGAAGGGUUAAUGCAUAAGGUAGAUUAGAAGAUGACCUGGGAGGACUCUUGUAAUCUGGGGAUUCCAAUUGCAGCUAGAAAGAGGAAUGUAGCUGAAAUGACAGGAAACAUGAACCACUGCUCGUAAGUUCGGAUUUCAGAAGAGUACCCCUGUGUCCCUAUUAAACUGAUUUUUCUGAGGGCUCGGCCAGGGAACAAUCUGUUUUGUGGUAAUGCGCAAAGGGACUUCUUGUUGUAGGACUAAGCACUUAUAGGAGAAGACACAAACUGAUAGAAAGUGCGGAAGGGACGAGCAUUUUAAGGUAGAAAGAGUAGACACCACCCUGUGGGAGUAGGAAUGAGCAUGUUCUUUAGGGGAGGACUGGUUAAGACCCUUGGGCACGCUCUUUCCACUGUUAGAAAUGCCCUUCUGAUCCUGUGCCUGGUAAACUCUCCUUCUCUCUGAUAUAUCAGCUCAGAUGUCCCCUUUCCCAUGACACCUCCCUUGAUUCCCCCGGUCCUAGAUAGCAGUUUUACAGCCUAAGUUCUGAGACCCUCUAUCCAAGCCAUAAAAAACCAUGCUAAAUCCUGGCAUUUUUUUUUUUCCUGCAGAAGAGAAGGUAGCCUCACACCCCUUUUCAACACAGUUCCAGAAAGAUCUUUUCAGCUGACAAAAUUAAUUAAGCACAUAUUAAUUGAAUACCUACUAUGCAGCAUAUAGUUUCUAGGGGAUGUAAUGGUGAACAAGACAACAUACAUACCUGUUUCAUGGCUCUUAUAUUCUAGCUGAGGAGACAGAUAAUGAACAAAUAGAUAUGUAAGUAAAUGUUAGAACGUAAUAAGUACUCAAAAUAUAAACAAAGCCGUGCAUGGCAGAGAGGGUGAUAGCUUUUCUGACAUUUAUUUCUGCUUCUUUUGGUGGGUCUUUCUAUAUAACAGAGGCUGGAAAACUAAACACUCAACUUCUUGGACUCCUUGCCCAGAAGCUGAGAUGCUCCCUUGGUAGUCUUAAGAAGAUCCCAGAAAUACAAUGUUGAAUUAUUACCCCACUGUGUUAAACCUAACUGUCUUCAUCAUUGGACAGCGAGUAUUGGGAAGCCAGACACUCACUCCGGUUCACUUAUCUGGCACACAGAAGGCACAUGCCAAAUGCUUGUUGAAUGAAUGGCUCCAUCUGAAACAGACUGCCUAGCUUAAACAGAGGGCCUGCCCUGAUAGGGAUGAGGGAAAUUUACAAAGUUAGGAUGUGGGCACAAGUUACCCACUGCACAGUGCAUGCUAAGAGGCCAUGUGAAUACUACAGGUUGAGUAUCCUUUAUCCAAAAUGCUUCGGACCAGAAGUGUUUCAGAUUUAAGAUGUUUUGAUUUGGGUUUUGGAAUGUUUGCAUGAUACUUACUGGUUGAGCAUCCUUAAUCUGAAACUCUGAAAUCUGAAAUGCUCCAAUGAGCAUUUCCUUUGAGUAUCAUGCCAGAGCUCAAAAUGUUUCAGAUUUUGGAGCAUAUUGAAUUUAGGUUUGGGAUGUUCAACCUGUUUAUACUAAUUAAAGAGAAGCUACUGCUGAUUCUUUCACAGGGCCAAGAGUUUGAUGAAAAUGGUAUACGAGAGGAAAGAUUUUUCUAGUGUCUAUGUGUGGUAGGAUUGGAGUAUACAGAAAGUGGAGGAAAAGAACUAAAAUCUUGACUCUAGAUGGUAGAAAGUUGGUUGUCAAAGAAAAAGGAAAACAGCAGGCAGAAGCUACAGAAUAUUUGGCAAAAGAUUAGCUUUUUAGUUUUUAGCCAAGGGACAAGGGGGAGAGUGGGUUGUGGGACAUAAUGGAGAAGCUGGAAAGUGUGUGCUAGUUUGAAAGAAGCUGAGAGUUCUGAUUCCAGCACCAAUGUCAUGCUAGAGGAACUGGGAGCUGAUCUGGACAGAUGUGACUAUCUUAGCUGGAAGUGCUAACUUAGGAGAGGUAGAAUCAUGUGGCUGUUAGGAGCAAGGGCCAGGGAGCCAGGGAGACUGUUAUGAGUCCUGUUCUGCCAUUCAUUAGUUGUGGGGGCCUGAGCAAAUUACCUGACUUCUCUGGGCUUCAUAAAUUCAAUAUGGGUGAUAAAAGUACCUCCUUCAUAGGGUUGUUGGGGGAAUAAAUGAGUUACUAUAUGGAAAGCCCUUGAAACAGUGCCUGACACUGAGAGAAAGGCAACUUUGUUAAAGUUACCUUUACGUAGCACUCUCAAUGAAUGACAUCUCAGGAGGAGAAGUACAGAAGGGAGAGGGACUAAGGUCCAGGGAGAAAGUAUUUCACUCCACUUAAUAUAACUCAAAACAAGUGGGCUAGCAGUGGCUUGGCCUUGGAAAUAUUCUGAGCAUUUUGAUAUGAGAAUAUUCCUCAUCAAAAUGGGAUUUGCCUAUAUAGGAAAGCUUAUAGAUAGCUAAGGAUAUGACCUAUAUAAAUCUGCCAUGGAAAGUAAAAGCAAAAAAAAAAAAAGUCAUUAAGCACAAGGGAAUUUGGUACUAUCUGAAUUUGACUUUACCUUGAUACUACUAAAUAAAAUCUCCUAAAAUGGUAAAAAAUAAUUUAAACAAAACAAAGGUAUGGGAGUAGCCCAGUGAUUCAAGAUGGUAUGCCUGACACAAGAAGGCCAGCUGCAGCCCCCAGCUUCUCUGGCACUAGUGUCAAGAGUAUGCCUUACGGAAUGUGCUGAAUUCCAAACAUCCCAUAUUAAAGAAACUGUCAGUAACUCAUGCCUUAAACAAAACAAAACAAAACAAAACAAAACAAAACAAAACAAAACAAAAACCCUGUUAAAGAUAGGCAUUAAGCUUAUGCUAGGUAUAUGUUUUAGUUUGUUCUGUGCUGCUAUAACAGAAUAUUUCAGACUGGGUAAUUAAUAAAGAACAUAAAUUUACUUCCUCACAGUAAAUUUAUGGAUGUUGGAAAGUCAGUGUCAAAGUGCCAGGUGAGGGCCUUCUUGCUGCAUCUUCACAGGGCGGAACCAGGUGUAGCUUCUCUUUAAUUGAUACAUAGUAUUAAUCUGGCCUUCAAGCACUCACCAUGCAGUGAGUAACUUGUGCCCAUAUCCUAACUUUGUGAAUUUCCCUUAUCCCUAACAGGAAGGGCAAGAGAAAACCAACCCCCUCCAUAGAGCCCCUUUAUAAGGGCACUUAAUCCUCAUUCAUAGGGGAGGAGCUUUGUUGGUCUAAUCACAUCUUAAAGACCCCACCCCUUAAUACUAUCUUAUUGGCAACACUUGAAUUUUGGAGGGGACACAUUCAAACCAAACCCUAGCAUAUUAGGCUGACAUGAGGAGAGACCCUGAGCUCACCAUGCAAUGGCUCUGUAUCACCCAUCUUGGCUUCCUUCUUCUUCUCCCAACCCUUCAAUGUGCCUAAAAUAGAACCAUGUGGGAGGGCUGAAUUCAGACACAUGGUAUAGCUUUAUUUUUAGCCCAUUGAAAACAUUUGUUUAUCAAACAAUCACAUGAAAUGAAAGCCUAACUACAAGAGCUCCAGGAUGUCAAAAUGUUAAAAGUACAAACAAUUAUUUAGCAGAUAAACCCUUAGAAACUGACAAGGAUAAUGAGCACUAAAAAUAUUCUUAAUGGGCCUUAUUGAAUGAUAGAUAACACUUGUAAUUUUAAACACAUUCUGUCUCUUUUAGUUGUAUCUGGAUUAAUAUAAUUAUAUCAUAUGACCUCUCAAUAUUUAUUUUAUGUCAUUGUGGACUAAGACUGAGAAUUCUCUUGUUUCUUUAUUCAUACAAAUUAUGUAUUACUGUUUAUCUCAUUUGUCAAAAGAUUUCCAUACUGCAGAAAUGUUAUUGAGUUCUAUACCAAAAUGUCUCUGGUUGUGGGAGAAGACAUUGAAAUUAUAUUGCUUUUAUAACAAUCAUGUCUUAGAAAUGUUAAGUUCCUUCUUAUGCCCAAAUAUCUGGGACUUAAGAGAAGAACCAUGACAAGUAGGGUUAAAACCACUAAAGGAAGAGACCAUAAGACAGAAAAAGAUAAUAGCUAACUAUAUUAUUCAGUUCUUUAGGGUCCAUGCUAGAGAACUAUGCAACACUGUAAAGAGAUAGAUGUCAUGACUCUUUUAUUUAAAAGAUUGAAUUACCUAUGUCUGUUGUUCUAAUGACAAAUUUAUCAUCUAAAUUUUGCUCUCAAGGACAAAACUGCCUGGUCUCUCUUUUCACAUGUUUAACAUAAUAGAUACUCUACUUCAACUUUUGAAUUUAGUUUUAAAUAUAUUUCACUAAAGUGCCUGGCCACUGUUGCCUAAUGCUUGAUCAGAGACAUCCCUCUGAGGAGAGCUAUAGGUAGGUGAAGUAACCUCCAGGUUAACUGGUGGAAGGAGAAGGUGGCCUCCUUCUGAAGUCCCCUCCCUGGAGUCAUUAAAUGUCUUUGAGCUACUCAGAGAUAAUCAAACCUUCCAUGUCCACCUAGCUGCAGAUAUUUCUUGACCAACUCCUGUAUCAAUAAGUAAAGACUAAAUUAAUAAUAUGGAGUAAUAUGCAGUCACUAAAAAAGCUCUAUAGAGUUAUCUGAAAAUAACUAAGACAUAUUAAGUGGAAGAAGCAAGCUGUGGAACAAUAUGCAGAAUAUUAUGUCAUAAUGCUUUAAAAAGCUCUAUAUACUUCUAAGCAUUUCUUUGCAGAUAAAUUUGUAUGUGAAUACUUACAAAAGAAUGUAGAAGACUACAUCAAAACUGAUGAAAGGGGUUACAUAUGGAAAGGGGUGAAAUUAGAAAAAGAGAUCUCAAGAGGGACUUGUGCUUUUAUCUCUAUUGUUUAAAUUUCAUUCGAGAUCACAUUCGUAUGCUAUAAGCAUUAUGAAUCUUAUUUAAUUAUAUAUUUAAAUUAUUUUUCUUUAGAGAACUAAAGGCACAGCCCAGAAAAUCUGGUUGGAAUGCCUUGUUUUUAUAUCCCCAGCCCACACUUAAGAUUUUCUCUCCCCAAAUCCUCUCCCCCUCAACACAUAUAUUUUAACUUAGUCUGGUAAAAUAAUUCCAUAUCCUUGUCAUGGCAAUGAGUAUGAGGAUGUUAACACUGACCUUUUUACAGAUGUUUCUUUUUACAUUAAUACUUAGUGUUCAUCCAUGGAAAAAUGAGUUGUACUUCUGCUAAUGUCAAGGGCAAGACUCAAAUUCAAAAAACAUCACCACUACCAAUAAACAAAACCAAAGGGAAAGGAUUCCUUAUCAGCAGACAGUUACAGCUCCCACUAGGACACUGCCUUCUCAGCGGCUUCAGUUAUCAGAUAUUCCUGGACAUACUUUCCAAGCCAUGAAAAAUAACAGCCACAGCUUUCCCAGCACUCUGACAAACAUCCAUGAGCCCCCAAAGACCGGGAAGUAAUGAUGAUGCAGCUGCGGCACCAUAGAAGAAACAAGUGAUUUCAGUCAAAGGGCCUGGACUCACGAGCUAGCAACUUUGGACAGAUUCUUGAACUCUCAGCCUCAGUUUCUGCUUCUGUAAAGGGAGAUAACUACAGUGACCUUCAGGUUAUCUUGAAGAUGCCAAUGAGCUAGUGAAAAUGCAAUUUAAUCUGUACAGAACUAAACAAAUGUAAGUCAGUGCUAAUAUUCUGUUCCUAGUGGGGACAUGCCAAGUCUCUUUACUGCAACCAGUGGUUCACAUAUGGAAAUAUUGUGCUAAUUUCCAACUCCUACUUAUAUAUAUGAUUUGUUAACUCUGGAGGAUGCAGCCAUCAGCAUAAGCAACCAACAGAAGAACACGCUGGAUCCUCUCCUUUUCCUGACAGUGUGUAGUCUUCAUGGGGGUGGACAGGCUAGAUUUAAAACGAUGGGCGGAUUGAUUAUUUUUCUGCAUCUAUUUCCAGGGUUGUAAUGUAUAUUCUCUUUCUCCCACAUCCCGCCUUCUAUUUUCUUCUCCCUACACAGGCUCUUUUAAUACAAAUUAAUUAAAAGCAGGCAUCUUAAGAGGUGGCUUAAGAAGACUCCUGCAUCAUCAUAGGGAGUUAAAAUUCUGAGCAAAAAGCCUUCUGGAGGAGAAGCAUAGGACAGGCAGCCCCAAGACUGGACUGGAUAGAUGUUGCUGAGCCACCAACUCUCUGAGGGACCUGAGACAAAGCCAGGUGACCUCACCAGUGCUCCAUGUUCUCACCAUAAGUUCUAUAGGACACUCAAAUAUUCUCAGGACAUCAGUUUACUAUACACAUGCACACACACAUAUUUUACAUUUCAUUCAAAGGGUAAAACAUAGACUCCCUUUGUUCUAUAAACCUACAAACAUGUCUGAGCAUUUUUUACAUAAAUAUUUCACAAAUAUUUUACAUGAAUACUUCGACUUAUAAGUCCAUAUUUUAACAAUGGCAUCUUUUCCAAUGUGUACAUUAUGGAAGUGUGGUUGGGGUGUACAGCCUAGGAGCUCAGGGACUGCACAGGCCUGUUCUUUAUGGAUGCAUUGCAUUCAUCUCCCACAGCCAUUUGUAGCUUCAGCUGUUUCUGAAAGCAGCCACUUUCCCUUUUGAUGUCUGAGGUCCAUUAUUUUCAUUUUUGACUUAACCAACAGGUGUUCUCUCUUGAACUCUUUCCUACAUGAGCUGUCUUGCCUCAGGGUUCCCACGGACAGGAGAGUUUUUCCUACAGUGUUACUGAGAGGCACAGAGAAAUCAGUUCCUCCUGGUCCACUGGCUCCGCUCUCAGCACUGCAGUCUCUUGUGACCACGCUGAAGUCUCAACGUUUCCCCCUUCUGAGGACAUGCAGGGACAGAAGGGUGAACCACAAGGGCCAGACCUAAUGCUCCAGGAAAACAAUGAAAGAACAAUUUUCCAUCCUUUUAUUUAGGGCUUAAGUAAGCCAGGCCUGUAACACCAAAUUGUGAGAGUGCACAAGAUGUUUUUGAACCUUGGUGCAGAAUCCAGAAAGAAGUGCAGCCUCUGGUGACAGGGUCUUGGGCUAGCCAUGUGAAGCCUGGCUUUAUGUCAGGCCUCUCAAAUGUGCUGUACAAACCUACCUGCAGGUCUACUCUAGGCAGAAGGGGUGGACCGAUGGCACCAACAAACACAUCUGUACACACAACAGUGCAGCAGACACUUGUGGAUGGGGUAUGAGACAAGCUGUAGAUGCCCUCAAUUAAAUCUGAGGACAAAAGAAGACUGCCCAGAGAGUGGCACUAGCAUGGCAACAAAAUAUUUCAAAAUAUUAAUGGGUUUUACAUACACGCAUAAAAUCACAUUUUUCUGACCUUAUAACACAUUUCAGUCAUUUAGGUAUUGAGUUUGUAAUGCUUGUGGAUACUCGAAAAAUUGAAAGAGGCAAAGUUAGACUUCUUGUCCCCAAGACUGGAAAUAUGUCCCUUCGUUGGGAGUUGGGUGGUGUUGAAUGCAGUUGGGGUGGAAGGAGAGGAGAGCUAAUGGGAAAACAAAGAAUAAGUAAAUGUUCUACAUUCCUGAGAAAAGGGGCCCUGCCCCCUAGCCAUCUCUGCAGCAAAGCCCUGGGGGAGAGAGAGAGAAUGCUCAGACAUGUUUGUAGGUUUACAGAACAAAGGGAAUCUAUGUUUUACCCUUUGAAUGAAAUACAGGAAAGCAAAAUACCUAGAGCAGAAAUGGCUGUGUGACAUGUCAGACAAGGUCAUAGAGUUUUCCAUGGCCCUGCACUGCCCGUGGCUCAUGUGGCAUGACUGUAGGUGAAACCCAGAAUGGACUCUCAAGGUGCCCUGGGCUCCCUUCCUCAAUGGCUGAAGAAGGCUUCUCUUGACCUAAUGGAGUUUAAAGAGACUUGGGGAUAUAGUGAACUAGACCCCAGAAGCCUUUCAAACAGGAACUAGGGGGCGCCCACCAGGACCUUGUGGACUGACAGUGGAGGCUCAAUGAGACAAAAUGUGUCAUGGAGAUGCCUUCAGGACAGACAGCAUUCGGGAACAGAUACCAGCUCCUUACAGUCUUGGCCUCCAGAUUAGACAUGGCCCUGGAAAAAGGUGAUGGGGGACCUGGAAUUACCAGACAGCAAUUCCGUUCCCCCACUUAGUGGAAUGGGAGCACAACAUGUAAAUUAAAGGAAUUAGAGAAAAACA
rnacentral:lncRNA from 1 species